rnacentral:lncRNA from 1 species
AAACUAGUGUUAUAUCCUUGGAAAGAUUGGAUUUUUGGCAAACCCACAGUCUUCAACGGAUUUGAUGAGUCUUUACUGUCUACCGUUUGAGACAGACUAGCCAUACCAUGAGCGGGUACGAUCGCUUUGGUUUUAGAAUUCAUACCUGAGUCUCCCGAAGAAGACGCCAUAUUCUGCAGAGCUUUUAUUACUUCUGGUAAUUUACUUAAUUCUUCUAUCC